CCUACGGGAGGCAGCAGUGAGGAAUAUUGGUCAAUGGACGAGAGUCUGAACCAGCCAAGUAGCGUGAAGGAUGACUGCCCUAUGGGUUGUAAACUUCUUUUAUAUGGGAAUAAAAUGUUCCACGUGUGGGAUUUUGUAUGUACCAUAUGAAUAAGGAUCGGCCAACUCCGUGCCAGCAGCCGCGGUAAUACGGAGGAUCCGAGCGUUAUCCGGAUUUAUUGGGUUUAAAGGGAGCGUAGGUGGAUUGUUAAGUCAGUUGUGAAAGUUUGCGGCUCAACCGUAAAAUUGCAGUUGAAACUGGCAGUCUUGAGUACAGUAGAGGUGGGCGGAAUUCGUGGUGUAGCGGUGAAAUGCUUAGAUAUCACGAAGAACUCCGAUUGCGAAGGCAGUUCACUGGACUGCAACUGACACUGAGGCUCGAAAGUGUGGGUAUCAAACAGGAUUAGAUACCCCUGUAGUC
rnacentral:rRNA from 1 species